UACGGAGGGUGCAAGCGUUAUCCGGAUUCACUGGGUUUAAAGGGUGCGUAGGCGGAUAGGGAAGUCCGUGGUGAAAUCCUGCAGCUUAACUGCAGAACUGCCCGUGGAUACUCUCUAUCUUGAAUAUCGUGGAGGUUAGCGGAAUAUGUCAUGUAGCGGUGAAAUGCUUAGAUAUACAUAGAACACCCAUUGCGAAAGGCAGCUAACUACGCGAUCAUUGACGCUGAUGCACGAAAGCGUGGGGAUCAAACAGG
rnacentral:rRNA from 1 species